UGGCGGACGGGUGAGUAACACGUGGGUAACCUGCCCGGAAGUGGGGAAUACCUCGGGGAAACUCGAGCUAAUACCGCAUAACAUCUUUGGGACGAAAGUCCCGACGAUCAAAGCGGGGUCGCAAGAUCUCGCGCUACCGGAUGGGCCCGCGCCCGAUUAGCUAGUUGGUGGGGUAACGGCUCACCAAGGCUUCGAUCGGUAACCGGCCUGAGAGGGCGAUCGGUCACACCGGAACUGAGACACGGUCCGG
rnacentral:rRNA from 1 species